UUCCGGUUGAUCCUGCCGGACCCCACUGCUAUCGGGAUGGGACUAAGACAUGCUAGUCGUGCGUCUCCAAGCCAUGGUGGAGACGCGGCGUACAGCUCAGUAACACGUGGCUAACCUACCCUUGGGACGGGGACAACCCCGGGAAACUGGGGCUAAUCCCCGAUAGGUGAGGAUUCCCGGAAUGGGUCCUCGCCGAAAAGGCGUCUAGACCAUGCUUCUAGGCGCUGCCCAAGGAUGGGGCCGCGGCCGAUCAGGUUGUUGGUGAGGUAACGGCUCACCAAGCCUAAGACCGGUACGGGCCGUGGGAGCGGGAGCCCGGAGAUGGACACUGAGACAAGGGUCCAGGCCCUACGGGGCGCAGCAGUCGCGAAACCUCCGCAAUACGCGAAAGCGUGACGGGGCCAUCCCGAGUGCUGUCCGCUGAGGACGGCUUUUCCCCAGUGUAGAUAGCUGGGGGAAUAAGGGGAGGGCAAGUCGGGUGUCAGCCGCCGCGGUAAAACCAGC
rnacentral:rRNA from 1 species